rnacentral:rRNA from 1 species
UACGGAGGGUGCAAGCGUUAUCCGGAUUCACUGGGUUUAAAGGGUGCGUAGGUGGGUUGGUAAGUCAGUGGUGAAAUCCCCCGAGCUUAACUUGGGAACUGCCAUUGAUACUAUCAGUCUUGAAUAUUGUGGAGGUUAGCGGAAUAUGUCAUGUAGCGGUGAAAUGCUUAGAUAUGACAUAGAACACCAAUUGCGAAGGCAGCUGGCUACGCAUAUAUUGACACUGAGGCACGAAAAGCGUGGGGGAGUCAAAACA